rnacentral:rRNA from 1 species
AACUGAGGAUAAUACCGGAUAGGCAAUUUUUCCUGUAAUGGUUUUUUGUUUAAAUGUUUUUUUCGCCUAAGGAUGGGUCUGCGGCCGAUUAGGUAGUUGGUUAGGUAAUGGCUUACCAAGCCGUUGAUCGGUACGGGUUGUGAGAGCAAGAGCCCGGAGAUGGAACCUGAGACAAGGCUCCAGGCCCUACGGGGUGCAGCAGGCGCGAAACCUCCGCAAUGUGAGAAAUCGCGACGGGGGGAUCCCAAGUGCCAUUCUUAACGGGAUGGCUUUUCAUUAGUGUAAAGAGCUUUUGGAAUAAGAGCUGGGCAAGACCGGUGCCAGCCGCCGCGGUAACACCGGCAGCUCUAGUGGUAGCAGUUUUUAUUGGGCCUAAAGCGUCCGUAGCCGGUUUAACAAGUCUCUGGUGAAAUCCUGUAGCUUAACUGUGGGAAUUGCUGGAGAUACUAUUAGACUUGAGAUCGGGAGAGGUUAGAGGUACUCCCA